GACGAACGCUGGCGGCGUGCUUAACACAUGCAAGUCGAACGGAAAGGCCCUGCUUUUGUGGGGUGCUCGAGUGGCGAACGGGUGAGUAACACGUGAGUAACCUGCCCUUGACUUUGGGAUAACUUCAGGAAACUGGGGCUAAUACCGGAUAUGAGCUCCUGCUGCAUGGUGGGGGUUGGAAAGUUUCGGCGGUUGGGGAUGGACUCGCGGCUUAUCAGCUUGUUGGUGGGGUAGUGGCUUACCAAGGCUUUGACGGGUAGCCGGCCUGAGAGGGUGACCGGCCACAUUGGGACUGAGAUACGGCCCAGACUCCUACGGGAGGAAGAAGUGGGGAAUAUUGCACAAUGGGCGGAAGCCUGAUGCAGCAACGCCGCGUGCGGGAUGACGGCCUUCGGGUUGUAACCCGCUUUCGCCUGUGACGAAGCGUGAGUGACGGUAAUGGGUAAAGAAGCCCCGGCUAACUACGUG
rnacentral:rRNA from 1 species